rnacentral:rRNA from 1 species
UACAGAGGUCCCAAGCGUUACUGAGAAUCACUGGGUUUAAAGGGUGCGUAGGUGGUCCGUUAAGUCGGUUGUGAAAUCCCCGGGCUCAACCCGGGAAUGGCUUUCGAUACUGGCGGACUUGAGGCCGGUAGGGGUCACUGGAACAGACGGUGGAGCGGUGAAAUGCGUAGAUAUCGUCUGGAACGCCUGUGGUGAAGACGGGUGACUGGGCCGGUUCUGACACUGAGGCACGAAAGCGUGGGGAGCGAACGGG